CUGCAUAACAGACACCUCCCAUCAAAAGAACCUCAAAGCUUCAAAGGCUUAUUUUAAAUGGACAUUUUACAAAACUUUCUUAUUUCAACAUGCACUUAACUGACAGUAUUUAGUUUUUCCUCUUUAUAUGACUCUUAUUAUUCACAGCUUUAUAUAUGAGUCUUUUCAAAAUGUGCAAAAUCGUAGUCAAUGAAACACAAAAAUAGUGAAGACCUUAUCAAAGCUCUCAGAUCUCCAACCCAGGAAGUGACGUCAUCAUUUAAGACCUAAGAGACUUAAUCAAACAUUCACUGAAACACAAAAAGGUUCAAAUUAGAGUUCUGAUCACAUAUGUGAUUUCUAAACCUAAUGAAAAUGUAUGUAGCUGUUUAUGCUCUUCUCUUCACUCUGACUGCAGCAGUGGUUUCAGGGCUAAGACUGGAGCAGAAUGAUUUUCUACUGACGAGGCAAGAACGUAAAAGUGUGUAUAUUCACUGCAAAGUGACUGGCCUAAGCAGCUCUUACGUCCACUGGUACCAAAAGACAGACGAUGAAGCUUUAAGAAGAAUCCUUUAUAUCAGCAGCAGUGGUCAGUCAGCUGUUCGAGACACCGGCCAUCCUGAUAGUAAAGACUUUGAUGUAAAGAAAGAUCCCACAGAUCCUAAUGUUUACAACCUGAAGAUAGAGAGUCUGAAGAAAAGGCACACUGGGGUUUAUUACUGCGCUGCCUGGGACAGCAGCCACAGUGACAGUAAUUACACAACAUGUGUACAAAAACCCUGACAGUGUGAAACCCUACACAGAUUCCACUACAGGAAAUGAUCUUCAUCAGACAUGAAGUGUAACAGUGUGAAGCCAAAACAACCGCUUAAAUGUAUUCUCAGAUACUGUAGAAAAAAAAUAUUCCUUGCAGACUACUAUGCCUUAAAUACAAUUAUAUACAGUACUUCAAACUAUUUCUAUCAGCUGUAAAAGCUUUUAUUCUUCUUAGGUGAAAAGUGAAAACAUUAGGGGACAUUCCAUUUAGUAGAAUGUGUUCCAAUCAUCAAGUUAAAAAUGAGCAAAGAUGUUAAAGCUGUUGGGCAGCAGAGUAUAGCAAUCUUGUCAGCAGUCACGUGCACAGAUAGAUCCCUAGUGAUGCUCAAGCACCUGCCCUUUUGCCCUGGAUGAGAAAAGUGCCCUUUCUGCUUGAGCCCAAUUUUUUUCUACAUUUAUCAAUAUUUAAAAAUAAAUAUUACCCUCUCUGUCAUCAAUUCCCCCAAAAGUGUUUCACUAGUUUUGUUUUAUUUAAAAUCUUACUUAUUUUGAUGUGAAAGUGUGAAAAAAAAAAAACAUGAGCACAAACAUUUUGCAGGAAAAUGUCAAGUAGCUCUCACAGUAAAGUGUUGAAAAUAGAUACAAACAUACAAUAUUUUAUAAUUACAGCAUCCUGGCCAAAACGCUGUGUAGGAGAAGUCACCUUUAGUCAAGGAGUUAUUUUCAUGCAAGCAUUUAUACUUCAACAGUUGAGGUUUACAAAUGAGGAAUAAUUUUGCUAGGUAAUUAACAUUACAAACUAAUAUAUGUAGAAGGCUAAAUAUAAUGCUCUAUGAUAUACUGUAGAACAGCAUACAAAAAUGAUGAAUAAAUAGGAAAAUGUUAUUUAACUGUCUGUUUGAUUUUAUGCAUAAUAAUAGGCCCAUUGUUAACAUUAAAUACCCAAAGUGGGUUUCUAAUUUGAAAUCAAAGGUAGGUCUUAAGUUGAGCUAUUUUUUGAUGAUAAUUUAAUAUAUUGUUUGGUUAUUAAAAAGCGCACAAUAUGGCCUUGUU